rnacentral:rRNA from 1 species
CCUACGGGUGGCAGCAGUGGGGAAUAUUGGACAAUGGGCGAAAGCCUGAUCCAGCCAUGCCGCGUGUGUGAAGAAGGCCUUCGGGUUGUAAAGCACUUUCAGUGGGGAAGAAAGCCUUGGGGCUAAUACCCUCGAGGAAGGACAUCACCCACAGAAGAAGCACCGGCUAACUCCGUGCCAGCAGCCGCGGUAAUACGGAGGGUGCGAGCGUUAAUCGGAAUUACUGGGCGUAAAGCGCGCGUAGGCGGUCUGAUAAGCCGGUUGUGAAAGCCCCGGGCUCAACCUGGGAACGGCAUCCGGAACUGUCAGGCUAGAGUGCAGGAGAGGAAGGUAGAAGUCCCGGUGUAGCGGUGAAAUGCGUAGAGAUCGGGAGGAAUACCAGUGGCGAAGGCGGCCUUCUGGACUGACACUGACGCUGAGGUGCGAAAGCGUGGGUAGCAAACAGGAUUAGAUACCCAGUAGUC